CGGGCAUCCAUUUCAGAGUAGGCUGUUUUAGUAUGACGCAACCUUUUUCGGCGCCGCUGCUACUGUUUAAAAGAAAAAUAAUCGCGAAUUUAAAAAUGGUUAGAGAUGCUUUACCUAUCGCGGGCAGUUCGUUGAGGGGCAGUAUUGCUAUUGUGAUCCACAGGAUCCAGGAGGCCAGCCUGUACAGCAUCUGCGCUGUUUUCGAAAAAGUCGAAUGUAGCAUUGAACGGUAAG